rnacentral:rRNA from 1 species
AGUGAACGCUGGCGGUAGGCCUAACACAUGCAAGUCGAACGGCAGCACAGUAAGAGCUUGCUCUUACGGGUGGCGAGUGGCGGACGGGUGAGGAAUACAUCGGAAUCUACUUUUUCGUGGGGGAUAACGUAGGGAAACUUACGCUCAUACCGCAUACGACCUACGGGUGAAAGCAGGGGAUCUUCGGACCUUGCGCGAUUGAAUGAGCCGAUGUCGGAUUUGCUAGUUGGCGGGGUAAAGGCCCACCAAGGCGACGAUCCGUAGCUGGUGUGAGAGGAUGAUCGGCCACACUGGAACUGAGACACGGUCCAGACUACUACGGGAGGCAGCAGUGGGGAAUAUUGGACAAUGGGCGCAAGCCUGAUCCAGCCAUACCGCGUGGGUGAAGAAGGCCUUCGGGUUGUAAAGCCCUUUUGUUGGGAAAGAAAAGCAGCAGGUUAAUACCCCGCGGUUCUGACGGUACCCAAAGAAUAAGCACCGGCUAACUUCGUG